CUCUUAAAAUUAUUUCUGAACAGUCACAUGCUUUGCACCUUCUAGACUACUUGCUUCCUCAGUAAUUAAGUCACAUGACCUGCACCUACUUGCUUGCCUGCUUGCUCAUUAAUUCAGUCACAUGAUUGUCACUAGCUGCUUGCAGCUUUCUUCUUGGGAGGGAAAGGACAGCAGCUUGCUGUUGGAAGUGCUGAAGUUGCUCUCCACAUGUCCUUUAUCAGCCUUGCUUUGUGCUGAGUGAAACCCUCACCUGAGCAACUUCUUAUGUUAUAAAACACCAUCUUCUCUCUUCUGGUCAUCCAUAACCACAAGAAAGCAGAGAAAAUAUUCAGAGAAAAUCAGUGAGAAAGAUUGAGAGAAAAAUCAGAGAAAAAUCAGAGAAAAUUCAGAAAACUCCUUGGAUGAUUUUUUUUCAUCACCUUAGUUCAGUCUGAUGAUGUGUGGAAGAUAAAAAGUCCAGCUGUGAGCUAAGCUUGAAGAAGAGAAUCAUCUGAGUUCAUCUGGCCACCAGUUGUUGUUGUCAGUGGUCGAGUAAAGUUGAAGGAUAAGACUGGUUCAUCAUGUAAAACCGUUUUCUGUCUAGUUGGUUGUGGAGUUUUUCUAGAUCGGUCCAGUCACUCCUUGUAGCCGCUCAGUCACUUGGUUUGAAUUCAGAUAUCAAGGAGAGUGGUCGGAUCAGUCAGAUAAUUGUGCUGUUUUGAAUCUCAAGUGUACCAGAAGUGGAGUGUGAUUAGCUUGAGCUCGAGUCUAGUCUUGAUUAGCCAAUCUCAAAGAAUCAAAGGUGAGUCUAGAUAGAUGAUUGAUGAGUAGUGAAUGAAUAUUUAUUGAUUGAAUGCACUGAUUGUAGAUGAUUGAUAGGCUAUGUCUGAUCAAUAUUGAAUUGGUGAGGUGUUUACUUAGUGUAAACGCUUAUUAAAUAUUGCUGAAUGUUCAUAGAGGUUUACUCCCAAGCCAUAGUACGUACUUGUUCUCAAGUACUAAUAUAUAAUAUAAUUAAGUAUGGAAGUAUUAAUCAUGUGAAGUCUUAUUAUAAACAUGUCUUCCAAAAUAUUCCCGUAUGAAUGAUGAUUACCGUGAAUUGGUCCUGCGAUAUCGAACAAGGUCACGAAGACACGAUGAUGGGGUCGCACCCUGGAGGCCGUGUAACUGCAUGCAGCGUUAGAUGUUCG